GAUUUGAGAGCAAGUAAGUCACAGCACUUCAAUGAACAAAGACUUUCCUCUUUAAUCUGCUCUAGUUGGGAAAGAUAAGACCUCAAAUGGAAUCUACUUCAAGACUAGAUUACACAUUAAGAUAAGCAUAAUGCGAUAAGCACCAACUGACACAGCUUCUGUAAGGCAAAGCUUAACACGAGGUGCUUUAUCCAUCAUGAGUGGUUCCACACCAGCAGAGGGAAGCUCUCCAAAUGAUUGCUGGAAGAUAGAAGAUAAUGCUGCGCUGAAGCUGUAGAAUGGUGAAAUGGCUCAUCUGAAACAUGUCAGAAGCUGCUGGAAAACCCGCAGCCGAGCCAGAAACCAGAUCCAGUAUGUGUGAGUUCCAUUUCCCACCCUCAUCAUUGGAAUGUAAUCAGUAAGUGUUCAAAUCAUGAGGUAUCACUUCAGAAUCUAUUCAGGGCAUGUUUGACUGUGAUACUUUUUUUUUUUUUUUAAAUGUUUUCCAUGUGCUAUCGUGAAGAAAUUCAGCUUGAACACAGUUAACUCAGCCCAAGUUUUGGAAACAAGAUUUAGGCCCUUCAGGGGAUUGUCCUUCCCUGGUGUUGUUAAUCCUGUGGUUUUUAAGGCAUUUUUUUCAUGAAAAGGAAAUGUGUUUUGUUUUACUUCAAUGUUUACAAGUGUUUGUCUGGGAAAUAUAGGAUUAUAAAGGAACACAUUUCAAGCAUCAUGCUGGGUGUGUUACUGCUUUGUAUUCUGCUACCACAUCUGAACUUCCUUCAUGUUGUAUUUCAUAAUGUCCCAGACAAAUAAGGAUGAGAUCAUGUUUGCUAGAAUUGUUUAAUCACCAGUGGUCUGACCCUGAAAAAGACAGGGCGCAUUAGCUUUCUGUCACCCUGGAUGAGAACUGAGGUUGCACAGCAUCUGGCAGGAUAUUCUCAGCACCCCACAGAAUUUGUGCUUUUAACUUAACUUCCAGACCACAUCUAUUUUCUUCAAUAUACUGCAAACAUAUAACUGCAGUUAGUACAACUGGUACUUUCACUUUUAGCUGAAAUGCCUCUACCCAGCAGGCAAACUAAUAACCAUGAGAUGACAUUGUGAUGAAUGACAAUGCCUCCAACAAAGUGCUUGAAC